UACGGAGGGUGCAAGCGUUGUCCGGAUUUAUUGGGUUUAAAGGGUGCGCAGGCGGCGCGCUAAGUCAGUGGUGAAAUCCCGCAGCUCAACUGUGGAACUGCCAUUGAUACUGGCGUGCUUGAGUACGGACGAGGUAGGCGGAAUUUAUGGUGUAGCGGUGAAAUGCAUAGAUACCAUAAAGAACACCGAUAGCGAAUGCAGCUUACUAGACCGUAACUGACGCUCAUGCACGAAAGCGUGGGGAUCGAACAGG
rnacentral:rRNA from 1 species